rnacentral:rRNA from 1 species
AUUGAACGCUGGCGGCAUGCCUUACACAUGCAAGUCGAACGGCAGCACGGGAGCAAUCCUGGUGGCGAGUGGCGAACGGGUGAGUAAUACAUCGGAACGUGCCCAGUCGUGGGGGAUAACGCAGCGAAAGCUGUGCUAAUACCGCAUACGAUCUAUGGAUGAAAGCGGGGGAUCGCAAGACCUCGCGCGAUUGGAGCGGCCGAUAUCAGAUUAGCUAGUUGGUGGGGUAAAGGCCCACCAAGGCGACGAUCUGUAGCUGGUCUGAGAGGACGACCAGCCACACUGGAACUGAGACACGGUCCAGACUCCUACGGGAGGCAGCAGUGGGGAAUUUUGGACAAUGGGGGCAACCCUGAUCCAGCAAUGCCGCGUGCAGGAAGAAGGCCUUCGGGUUGUAAACUGCUUUUGUCAGGGAAGAAAUCUUUUGGGCUAAUACCCCGGGAGGAUGACGGUACCUGAAGAAUAAGCACCGGCUAACUACGUGCCAGCAGCCGCCGUAAGAC